AUUGAACGCUGGCGGCAGGCCUAACACAUGCAAGUCGAACGAGUGGCGGACGGGUGAGUAAUGUCUGUGAAACUGCCUGAUGGAGGGGGAUAACUUCUGGAAACGGUAGCUAAUACCGCAUACCAUCAGAUGUGCCCAGAUGGGAUUAGCUUGUUGGUGGGGUAACGGGUCACCAAGGCGACGAUCCCUAGCUGGUCUGAGAGGAUGACAGGCCAACCGGGAACUGAGACACGGUGCAGAGUCCAACGGGAGGCAGCGGUGGGGAAUAGUGCACAAUGGGCGAAAGGCUGAUGCAGCCAUGCGGCGUGUAUGAAGAGGGCCUUAGGGUUGUAAAGUACUUUCAGCGGGGAGGCGUUAGCCGCAGAAGAAGCACCGGCUAACUCCGUGCCAGCAGCCGCGGUAAUAC
rnacentral:rRNA from 1 species